AUGAGCGCUGGCGGCGUGCCUCAUACAUGCAAGUCGAGCGAACAGACGAGGAGCUUGCUCCUCUGACGUUAGCGGCGGACGGGUGAGUAACACGUGGAUAACCUACCUAUAAGACUGGGAUAACUUCGGGAAACCGGAGCUAAUACCGGAUAAUAUAUUGAACCGCAUGGUUCAAUAGUGAAAGACGGUUUUGCUGUCACUUAUAGAUGGAUCCGCGCCGCAUUAGCUAGUUGGUAAGGUAACGGCUUACCAAGGCAACGAUGCGUAGCCGACCUGAGAGGGUGAUCGGCCACACUGGAACUGAGACACGGUCCAGACUCCUACGGGAGGCAGCAGUAGGGAAUCUUCCGCAAUGGGCGAAAGCCUGACGGAGCAACGCCGCGUGAGUGAUGAAGGUCUUCGGAUCGUAAAACUCUGUUAUUAGGGAAGAACAAAUGUGUAAGUAACUAUGCACGUCUUGACGGUACCUAAUCAGAAAGCCACGGCUAACUACGUG
rnacentral:rRNA from 1 species